rnacentral:rRNA from 14 species
CUAUAACCACUCCACUCUGAAUGAGCUGGUCUUGUCUGAUCUCGGGGGCUAGGCAGGGUGGGCCCUGUCUAGUACUUGACUGUCUGGGGAUACUGGGUGCUGUUAAGU